GUCUUCUUGGCUCAGUUGGUUAGAGCGCAGGUCUCAUAGCAAUAUGACAACGAUCCGUUGGUAAUCCUGAGGUCGUGAGUUCGACCCUCACAGAGGACA